rnacentral:rRNA from 1 species
AUGUUCGUGUGCUCCAUGACUCCACAACCUAUAAACACCCUGAGUUGGAACGUACGGGGUCUAAACUGCCCAACCCGGAGGGCAACCGUCAGUGCUACGAUUGCAGACUCCUCGUGCCAAAUCGUGUGUUUACAAGAGACGAAGCUAGAUAGCGUGGACAAAUAUGUGGCUGCCUUCCUUGGUGGCAACCGGCUGAAAAGUUUUGCGCAGCGACCGGCGACGGGAACUAGGGGUGGGAUCUUAUUACUAUGGGAUGACAACGUUGUCGAGGUCUCCGACAUUUCUUCGUCGGCCUUUUGCCUCUCCGGCAAGGUUCGCAUUCGG